UACGUAGGCAGUGAGCGUUGUUCGGAGUUACUGGGCGUAAAGGGUGCGUAGGCGGGUCUUUAAGUCAGGGGUGAAAUCCUGGAGCUCAACUCCAGAACUGCCUUUGAUACUGAAGAUCUUGAGUUCGGGAGAGGUGAGUGGAACUGCGAGUGUAGAGGUGAAAUUCGUAGAUAUUCGCAAGAACACCAGUGGCGAAGGCGGCUCACUGGCCCGAUACUGACGCUGAGGCACGAAAGCGUGGGGAGCAAACAGGG
rnacentral:rRNA from 1 species